rnacentral:rRNA from 12 species
GAAAGCGGCCGCAACUGAGUUCGCAUACUCGAUAGCAUCUGGAAACUAAGCAAGGACGUGCCUGGUUAGUCCUUGGGUGGGAGACCAACUUGGAAGACUAGGGGCUGCUAGCC